rnacentral:tRNA from 1 species
GGGAAAGUAGCUCAGUGGUAGAGUGCAUGCCUUGCAAGCAUGAGGCCCUGG